CAGGGAAUAGUUUAAAUAAAAUAUUAGCUUUGGGAGUUAAAGUUAAAGAAGUUUCUUUUUCUCUGA
rnacentral:tRNA from 1 species